GGUGGGUAGUUUGACUGGGGUGGUCGCCUCCAAAAGAGUAACGGAGGCUUUCAAAGGUUCCCUCAGUACGCUUGGUAACCGUACGUGGAGUGCAAUAGCAUAAGGGAGCUUGACUGUGAGGCCUACAAGCCGAACAGGGUCGAAAGACGGAUAUAGUGAUCCGGUGGUUCUGUAUGGAAGGGCCGUCGCUCAAAGGAUAAAAGGUACGCCGGGGAUAACAGGCUGAUGAUUCCCAAGAGCUCAUAUCGACGGAAUCGUUUGGCACCUCGAUGUCGGCUCAUCACAUCCUGGGGCUGAAGCCGGUCCCAAGGGUAUGGCUGUUCGCCAUUUAAAGUGGUACGCGAGCUGGGUUUAGAACGUCGUGAGACAGUUCGGUCCCUAUCUGGUGUGGGCGU
rnacentral:rRNA from 18 species